GGUCAGCUGACACAUCCCUGCCAAUCUCCGGCAGACCCUCCCUCCCAGACCCUCCUACUUCCUGGACAGCAUCCAUGUUGAAGGCAGGUUCAACAUGGAUGCUGUCCAGGAGGUGGGAGGGUCUGGGAGGGAGGGUCUGCCGGAGAUUGGCAGGGAUGUGUCAGCUG
rnacentral:miRNA from 1 species